UGCCAAGGAUGUUUUCAUUAA
rnacentral:siRNA from 1 species